CCAAAUGGUAGUAUUAGAUUCCAGCAUAAGAAAUUUCAUCAAGCUACCUGGCUGUCUCCGGAUCGAAAAACCACCACCGAUCAUGUUGUGAUAGACGGAAGACACUUCUCCAGUGUUUUAGAUGUGCGUGCGAUCCGAGGUCCUAACAUCGACUCGGACAACCAAGAUUCGCACCCGCCUCUGUGCAGCAAAAAACGCACGUCAACAAGCACAAGGAAUGUUUGACGUCGAGAAGCUGCAAUCACAACAGACAGCCGAACGAUUUUCUACUCGACUUGCACUCCUGCUAUCUGAGAGCACUCGUCAACAACUCGGUAUAAGGGAACUGUGGGACGGCAUUUCAAACUCCUUACGUACAGCUGCAACCGAAACCAUUGGCUUUCGGAAAGUGCAAAAGAACAGCUAGUACGACGAGGAGUACCGUGUCGCAGCGAAGAAAAAACCGACUGCCUACCUCGCAAGGUUACGAUCGCCCACAACACGUGCGGGAUGAGAUAGAUAUCCAGAAUUUAAGAGUGAAACGAGACGCAUUUUCAAACAGAAAAAGAAAGAGGCCGAAGUGCGUGAGUAUGAAGAGCUUGACAAGCUGACGGACAGAGGUAAUGCUCGAAAAAUUUACGAAAAAUGCGGCGGAUAACAGAAGGUUUCAAGAUCGCAGCAUACUCUUGUAGAACCAGCAAAGGUGAUCUAGCGACCGAUGCCAAUGGCAUACUAAAAUUAUGUAGGGAACACUUCUCCAGCCUGUUAAAUGGCAGUGAAAGUACACCGCCAGAAGAAAGCGAACCCGAUUCGCCAAUCAAUGACUAUGACGAUAGCAAUUACCCGUCUGUAAAACAACAAAGCGGCGGGGGUCGAUGGAUUGCCGGCCGAGCUAUUCAAAUACGGCGGCGAAGAACUGAUAAGGAGCAUGCAUCAGCUUCUUUGCAAAAUGUGGUCGGACGAAAGCAUGCCCAACAAUUGAAAUUUAAGUGCCCAAUCCACAAAAAGGGAGACCCCACAGUCUGCGCCACCUACGGUGGGAUAAGCCUCCUCAACAUCGCGUAUAAGGUUCUAUCGGCCAUAUUGUGUAAAAUAUUAAAGUCCAUCGUCAACAAACUGAUUGGACCUUAUCAGUGUGGCUUUAGACCUGGAAAAUCAACAACUGACCAGAUAUUCAUCAAAUCUGAGAAAAGAUCCGUGAAAGGAGAAUCGAUAUACACCAACUCUUCGUCGAUUUCAAAUAUCUAUUGACAGCACGAAAAGGAGCUGCCUUUAUGCCGCGAAGUCUGAAUUUGGUUUCCCCGCAAAACUAAUACGGCUGUGUUAACUGACGUUAAGCAACAUCAAAAGUUCCAUCAGGAUAGGGAAGGACCUCUCCGAGUCGUGCGAUACCAAACGAGAUUUCAGACAAGGCGACUACCUCUCUGCGACUUCUUCAAUCUGCUGCUGGAGAAAAUAUUCGAGCUGUAGAACUUAAUCGUGCAGGUACAAUCUUUUAUAAGAGUGUGGAGCUGAUGGCUGGAUGAUAUCAACACCCGCGCCGUUAGUUCUGCUUUCUCCAGACUGGUCAAGGAAGCAAAGCAAAUAGGUCUGGCAGUGAACGAGAGCAAGACCAAAUAUCUCCCGUCAUCAAACAAACAGUCGUCGCACUCGCGACUUGGCUCUCACGUUAAUGUUGACAUUCAUAACUUUGAAGUCAUAAUGGCGAUAUUGGCUUCAGUUUUUCCACAGAUGAUCUGACGGUUGUGAUGAUGCCAACGCCCAUCAUACGACUCGGAGCGGCUCCGACAUCAAUCAGUGAGCAUUGUUUUCCAAGCCGAGAUUGCAACCAUUAACUUACUGCUCCAGAUAGCGGAUUGUCUUAUUCCCGCUGUCAAAAUUAGAACCCAUGGAUUUGCAUGUAAUGGCACAUAAUUGCGCGGGAACGGAUUUUUUGCCGUCGGCAAUUAUUUCGGGGUCACAAUACUUAAGUUUAUUUCUAUUUUAUCGGUCGGUUAAAGGUUUCAGAGUUUCUUUUUUUGUCAGUUGUACACAUUUCACAAAUUAAAAACGAAUGUCCACAUACGUAUUUACGAAAUUAUUUUUCAAAAUUUAAGUGCAUUUCCUUAUAAAUAAAUAAAAAUACUGUCAAAUUA